rnacentral:rRNA from 1 species
UACAGAGGUCUCAAGCGUUGUUCGGAUUCAUUGGGCGUAAAGGGUGUGUAGGUGGCGCGCUAAGUCGGGUGUGAAAUUUCGGAGCUUAACUCCGAAACUGCAUUCGAUACUGGCGUGCUUGAGGACUGGAGAGGAGACUGGAAUUUACGGUGUAGCAGUGAAAUGCGUAGAUAUCGUAAGGAAGACCAGUGGCGAAGGCGGGUCUCUGGGACGGUACUGACGCUGAGACGCGAAAGCGUGGGGAGCGAACAGG